UCAUUUAUUUUUCUUCAAGUUAUAAAAAAGUAUUCCAUCUAACGUAUACUCCCUCCGUCCCACGAAUCUUGACACGUUUUCCUUUUUGGGCCGUCCCACGAAUCUUGACACGUUUCCUUUUUUGAUAAUAAUUAUUACAUUCUCUCUCCUACUUUAUCACAUUUAUUAUAUUCUCUCUCCUACUUUAUCACUUUUAUUACCUUCUCUUUCCUACUUUAUCAAUUUUAUACUUUAUUAAUUACACACUUAAAACAUUAAUCUACAACUCCUUAAUUCCUGUGCCGAACCCAAACGUGUCAAGACUCGCGGGACGGAGGGAGUAUUAAUUAAUUAUAGGAAUUGAUUCAAAUGCAAGUAUAUUGUGGUUGCAUGCAUCUUACUGCUAAUUCAUUAUUAUAUCCAUUAAUGACCAGUUAAACGGGAAAUUAAGAGAUAAUGCAGUAGCAUUGUUGGCAAGUAACCUAUUAUUAAUUCAAUAAUACUAUAUAGGAAGUGGGCCACUACCAUGAUUAUUGAUUGGCUAUUUCAUUUUCAUUUUCCAAAGUCCAAACAAACAAGUCAUAAGCAGCAAACCAAUGAAUGAUGAUCAACACAAAACCAAAUCUGCAGAAUAUAACCAGAAAAAAUUAUCCAAAAACCGAAUGAUCUAGAUACGUGUAUAUAUAUGUAGAGAGAGAGAGAGAGAGAGAGUGAUGCCGUUCAACAGUGUGUUGUUAAUUUCGACGGCGACCAGAUCGGCGGAACUGUGGCAGCGGCUGGCGUGUUUGCCGGAGCGGAUCAGCAGCGAUGAGAUGGUGGAUUUGGUAAUCUGUUUCCCUCUGCAGCAGCUCGGCCGUUGGGCUCUCUACGUCUGGACUUUCCUCUGCGUUUCUCCCUACCCCCACCGCCACCACUACGACGCCGCCUACAACAGCGAUGAUUCCGAUUACUACGACGACGACGACUCCGAUGGCGGCGGCGGCGCCGGCGCGUCGAAUCACGAUUAUCACUACUGCCUUUACUGCAACCAAAACAGUGGCGGUUACGGCUCUUCUUCCAAUUCAGAUUAGAUUUGGUUAGGCUCUUGUAAAAUGAUUGUAUUUUCCCCUUUUCCCCCUUUUCCGUUGUUGUUUUUGUGGGAGAAUUGAUUCAAAUGAAUGUAUCUAACGCUUAGUGAAUUACUACUAGAUUGAGUGUGGAAUUUUCUGAAGCUUUUCUAGUUAAUUAUUUUAUAAAUGUGAAUGGAAAAUAGGAUUUUUGCUUGUUUUAAAAUUAUUUGGAUGUGAAGGGAAACAUAUGAUAUGGA
rnacentral:lncRNA from 1 species